GACGAACGCUGGCGGCGUGCUUAACACAUGCAAGUCGAACGGAAAGGCCUGCUUUCCCUUGUGGAUUGCGGGUACUCGAGUGGCGAACGGGUGAGUAACACGUGAGUGAUCUGCCCCCAACUUGGGUAUAAGCCUGGGAAACUGGGUCUAAUUCCCGAUAGGACUGCAGGGUGGUGCCUGUGGUGGAAAACGAUUUUCUAGUGGUUGGGGAUGAGCUCGCGGCCUAUCAGCUUGUUGGUGGGGUAAUGGCCUACCAAGGCGGCGACGGGUAGCCGGCCUGAGAGGGUGGACGGCCACAUUGGGACUGAGAUACGGCCCAGACUACUACGGGAGGCAGCAGUGGGGAAUAUUGCACAAUGGGCGGAAGCCUGAUGCAGCGACGCCGCGUGGGGGAUGACGGCCGUCGGGUUGUAAACUCCUUUCGACCGCGAGGAAGCCACCUGGUUGGAAGGGUGGUGACGGUAGUGGUAGAAGAAGCACCGGCUAACUACGUG
rnacentral:rRNA from 1 species